AAGCAAUGAUGAAAGCUGCGGUCUUGUGGUGGUUUUGGGCCUCCACAGCUUGUCUGAUCUUAAUCGGAUGACUUACAGCGCUUCUGAGCUC
rnacentral:snoRNA from 1 species